rnacentral:lncRNA from 1 species
GGCACUAACGUGAACGUAGGAGGCAAAGGCGGUACUGGGGUGAACACCGGGAAGGGAACCAACGUUGGUGUUGGCAAAGGAGGAGUGUCCGUAAACACAGGGCACAAGGGAAAGCCCGUGUAUGUUGGAGUAAAACCAGGACCAGACCCUUUUAACUACCAGUAUGCAGCCACCGAAACCCAACUCCAUCAAGACCCAAACGUUGCUAUUUUCUUCUUGGAGAAAGACAUGCGUCCUGGAACAACAAUGAACUUGCACUUCACCACAAAUUCAAACACGCAAACUUUUGUGCCGCGCGAAACUGCGGAAUCCAUCCCAUUUUCGUCCAACAAGCUGCCAGAAAUCUUCAACCAAUUUUCAGUGAAAUCGGGUUCCGUGGAAGCGGAUAUAAUCAAGGGUACAAUUCAAGAGUGUGAGAAUCCAGCCAUUAGAGGAGAGGAGAAAUAUUGUGCUACCUCUUUGGAGUCCAUGAUUGACUUUAGCACUUCUAAGCUUGGAGGAGGAAAUGUUCGAGCAAUUUCGACAGAAGCCGGAAAAGGAGCUACAUUGCAGAAGUACACAAUAACUUCUGGAGUGAAGAAGUUGGCGGCGGAUAAGUCGGUCGUGUGUCACAAGCAGAACUAUCCCUAUGCUGUCUUUUACUGCCAUGCAACAAAAACAACAAGAGCUUAUGUGGUGCCCCUGAAAGGUGCUGAUGGGGUGAAUGUUAAAGCAGUAGCAGUCUGCCAUACAGACACAUCGGAGUGGAACCCUAAUCAUUUGGCCUUCCAAGUUCUCAAAGUUAAGCCGGGAACUGUUCCGGUCUGCCAUUUCCUUCCCAGUGAUCAUGUUGUCUGGGUUCCAAACCAGAAAUCUACCUGAUUUGACUGAUCAACCCUUGAGUUCUACGUAUGAUGAUGUGAUCAG